rnacentral:rRNA from 1 species
CUUUCUUUGCUGGCGACCGGCGCACGGGUGAGUAACACGUAUCCAACCUGCCCUUUACUCGGGGAUAGCCUUUCGAAAGAAAGAUUAAUACCCGAUAGUAUAAUGAUUCCGCAUGGUUUCAUUAUUAAAGGAUUCCGGUAAAGGAUGGGGAUGCGUUCCAUUAGGUUGUUGGUGAGGUAACGGCUCACCAAGCCUUCGAUGGAUAGGGGUUCUGAGAGGAAGGUCCCCCGCAUUGGAACUGAGACACGGUCCAA